rnacentral:lncRNA from 1 species
CGUUGCAUUUGAUUUGAUUUUUUUUUUACAUUAUUAUUAUUAUUUUUUAUUUACAAAAUUUUUCAUAUAACUUCUAUUUUUUCCUAUAACUUCUAUUUCACAAAAUUUGGUUCAUAUUUUUUUUUAAAUUCCAUUUUUUUCCUAUAACUUCUAUUUCACAAAUUUUGUUUCAUAUUUUUUUUAAAUUCCAUUUUUUCCCUAUAACUUCUAUUUCACAAAAUUUGUUUCAUAUUUUUUUUCCUAUAACUUCUAUUUCACAAAAUUUAUUUCAUAUUUU